UACGAAGGGGGCUAGCGUUGCUCGGAAUUACUGGGCGUAAAGGGCGCGUAGGCGGGUGUUUAAGUCAGAGGUUAAAUCCCAGGGCUCAACCCUGGAACUGCCUUUGAUACUGGGCACCUAGAGUUCGGGAGAGGUGUGUGGAACUCCGAGUGUAGAGGUGAAAUUCGUAGAUAUUCGGAAGAACACCAGCGGCGGAGGCGACACACUGGCCCGAUACUGACGCUGAGGCGCGAAAGCGUGGGGAGCAAAUAGG
rnacentral:rRNA from 1 species